AUCUGGGCGGCGGAAUUCACGAUGGCUGGCGGGUCUCGCGCCCGUCGGCCGUUUGAUAUUUCCGUCGCCGGNGCAGACGUCGCGACCUGUUUGUCGUCGGUCCUUGCUCGGAGGAAUCGCGUGCGAGUUCGUUGCGGGGCGUGUUUCGGCGCGUNCCGCGAUGAAGCCGCGGCUCUCUGGCUGACGACGGACAGUAAGCAACGGUGGCCGGCGUGGUGUCUCGCACUCCACGUCGGUGCCGGUCAGCGACGAUUUCUUCGGGCCUCUUUCCGACCCGUCUUGAAACACGGACCAAGGAGUCUAACAUGCGCGCGAGUCGCGGGGUUUCGAGCGUGCCACGGUGCGCUCGUUACUUCCGAAACCCGUACGUUGAAGGCGUACUGAAAGUGAACAGGGAAGAUGGCGUUCCGAGUCCACGAACCGUGAUCGAGUAUCGCGGCCGGACGCCCGCACUCCCGGGGCGUCUCAACGGCUCGUCGCGGAUGCGGACGGUCGUCCCUCGGGGCGGUCGUCGGUCCGCGACGGACCGA
rnacentral:rRNA from 1 species